rnacentral:rRNA from 1 species
UACGUAGGGGGCAAGCGUUGUCCGGAAUCAUUGGGCGUAAAGAGCGUGUAGGCGGCCCGAUAAGUCCGCCGUGAAAGUCCAGGGCUCAACCCUGGAAUGCCGGUGGAAACUGUCGGGCUCGAGUCCGGAAGAGGCGAGUGGAAUUCCUGGUGUAGCGGUGAAAUGCGCAGAUAUCAGGAGGAACACCGGUGGCGAAAGCGGCGCACUGGACCAUAACUGACGCUGAGGCGCGAAAGCGUGGGGAGCAAACAGG